rnacentral:rRNA from 1 species
UACAGAGGGUGCGAGCGUUAAUCGGAAUUACUGGGCGUAAAGCGCGCGUAGGCGGCUUUUCAAGUCGGUUGUGAAAUCCCCGGGCUUAACCUGGGAACUGCAGUCGAGACUGUCUAGCUAGAGUAUGGGAGAGGGAAGUGGAAUUUCAGGGGUAGCGGUGAAAUGCGUAGAUAUCUGAAGGAACAUCAGUGGCGAAAGCGACUUCCUGGACCAAUACUGACGCUCAUGUGCGAAAGCGUGGGGAGCAAACAGG